CCGGGCUGUGAGUGUCUCCGCGUUCGUGCGCGGUCUCCACGUUGCUGUCCGCUGGGUUCCUGGGACGGGGACGGAGGAUCCCACGGGGGCUGUUAUUUGCAAAUGAAGAAAAAGACUGAAGCUUCAUAAAAGAAUAAUCGGAUCUUCCUCCUAGCAUUAUUUUUGAUCAGGGCCCUUAAACGGCUAAUACGGGCAAUGGCGAUGUUGGGAAGGACCUUAGAAGACCCACAUUUCACAGAUAAAGACCUUGAGGUCUAAAGAGAAAUAAUGACUCAUCCACACUGUGUGACAUCUUGGAUGACUUUACUUUCCUGGUCUCAGGGAAGACACUCAAGCCUAGGGAUGAAAUACAGAUUGAGAAGAUGUUUGAUCACUGCAGCCCAUUAACCCAAAUGAGAAAAGCUCUGCCUUCUCUAGGCAACCUCUGAGCCUGAGAUGCUGGCAAGGCUGGGAACUAUCAACAUCUCUGAAAGGAAUUGAUGAGUCUGAAUCGACUUAUUGGUCCGGAUUUUCCUCAGCCGAGGGAGCCUCU